rnacentral:piRNA from 1 species
UUGCAGUCCAAAUGCUAGGUCACAUGUGC